UGGAAGCCUACUUCACUAGAC
rnacentral:siRNA from 1 species